UAGUUUUUUAAUUGAAAGCUGGAAUGAAUGGCUGAAUAAGGAAAUAACUGUCUCUUUUUAAUUAAGUUGAAUUUUAUUUUUAAGUUAAAAAGCUUAAAUUUAAUAGAAAGACGAGAAGACCCUAUAGAGUUUAAUAGAUUAAUAUUUUUAUAGUUUAGGGUUUUAUUAUAUAGAAAUAUUUAUUUAUUUUGUUGGGGUGACAAUAGAAUUUAAUUAACUUCUGGUUUUUAAUCAUUGAUUUAUGAAUAUAUGAUCCUAAUAUUUAGAUUAGAAGAAUAAAUUACCUUAGGGAUAACAGCGUAAUUUUUUUGGAGAGUUCUUAUCGAUAAAAGAGAUUGCGACCUCGAUGUUGGAUUAAAGUUUAAUUUUGGUGUAGAAGCUAAAAUAUUAAGACUGUUCGAC
rnacentral:rRNA from 1 species